rnacentral:lncRNA from 1 species
GGGAGACGGCGGCUUGGGAGCUGGCUGUGCUGCAGGUGAGCUGCGGCAGCCGCCGUCCUUGCACCUAAGGAACCUCUGCUGCCAGCCCUUCCUCACUUUUGGAAAUGGCGGGUGAAAUUACAGAGACCGGGGAACUCUACUCUUCCUACGUGAGUGUGACUUAUAGAACCUUUUGCUCACUUAAGUGUUCCUGGCUUCUAGAAAAGCACAUUGCUUGCUGGAGAUGGGACUAGUGAGUGCUGCUGCUUGAGCAGACCAUAGUGGAAGCAGGAUGGGGGAGUUCCAUGGGGCAGCGACUACAGUGCUGCUGUGGUGGCUCAGAAUGUAAGUCAGAUUUAUUCUCUUUUUAAGGUGUUUGUCAGAGUGGUCAAGCCAAACAAAAUCGCCAUGCUGUUUAUAAUGUUAAUCCCGGGCUGGGCACGGUGGCUCACGCCUGUAAUCCCAGCACUUUGGGAGGCUGAAGCGGGC